rnacentral:rRNA from 1 species
AGUGAACACUGGCGGUAGGCCUAACACAUGCAAGUCGAACGGCAGCACAGUAAGAGCUUGCUCUUACGGGUGGCGAGUGGCGGACGGGUGAGGAAUACAUCGGAAUCUACUUUUUCGUGGGGGCUGACGUAGGGAAACUUACGCUAAUACCGCAUACGACCUACGGGUGAAAGCAUGGGAUCUUCGGACCUCGCGCGAUUGAAUGAGCCGAUGUCGGAUUAGCUAGUUGGCGGGGUAAAGGCCCACCAAGGCGACGAUCCGUAGCUGGUCUGAGAGGAUGAUCAGCCACACUGGAACUGAGACACGGUCCAGACUCCUACGGGAGGCAGCAGUGGGGAAUAUUGGACAAUGGGCGCAAGCCUGAUCCAGCCAUACCGCGUGUGUGAAGAAGGCCUUCGGGUUGUAAAGCCCUUUUGUUGGGAAAGAAAAGCAGCAGGUUAAUACCCCGCUGUUCUGACGUUACCCAAAGAAUAAGCACCGGCUAACUUCGUG